GGGGCUACUUGCAGUGUAGGCUUUGACUACCAUCUCUUACCCAUGUCUUUUGAGUACCUUCGUUUCCUCGGCGGGUCCGCCCGCCGAUUGGACAAACUUAAACCCUUUGUAAUUGAAAUCAGCGUCUGAAAAAACAUAAUAGUUACAACUUUCAACAACGGAUCUCUUGGUUCUGGCAUCGAUGAAGAACGCAGCGAAAUGCGAUAAGUAGUGUGAAUUGCAGAAUUCAGUGAAUCAUCGAAUCUUUGAACGCACAUUGCGCCCCUUGGUAUUCCAUGGGGCAUGCCUGUUCGAGCGUCAUUUGUACCUUCAAGCUCUGCUUGGUGUUGGGUGUUUGUCUCGCCUUUGCGUGUAGACUCGCCUUAAAACAAUUGGCAGCCGGCGUAUUGAUUUCGGAGCGCAGUACAUCUCGCGCUUUGCACUCAUAACGACGACGUCCAAAAAGUACUUUUUACACUCUUGACCUCGGAUCAGGUAGGGAUACCCGCUGAACUUAAGCAUAUCAAUAAGGCGGAGGAA
rnacentral:rRNA from 1 species